rnacentral:lncRNA from 1 species
UUAUUUUGUUUUAUUUGGGAUUUUUGUCUUGCCUAGUCGCUUUUGUGCAUUGCUUUUUUUAUCUUGAUGGUUCUUUAUCUGUAGAGAAAAUCGCUUUCUCACCAUUUUUGGGGAUAUGAAGUUGGAAUUAUUCCCAUUCUUUCUAUUGCUAUAAUUUUCAAAACUGCAAAUGUUUGUGUUCCUUCUUAACAAAGGCCUUCAGUAGUGUUUAAUGAUAUAUUUAACUUGCACAUUUCAUCUACUGUUAUACAUGGCAGAAACUAUAAAGAAACUUAGAAACUCUUUCUAGGGGGCUUUUGGAUAUGCCCUAGAUUUCUGAAAUGUAGUGUUAAUUAUAAAUACUUCUCUUUAGUCAAGCUCAAAGUUAAAGCUAGUUCGGAGCCUUGCAGUGUGUGAAGAAUCUCCACCACCCCCUGCACCAGAGAUAUCACAGGAGAACCAGGAGAAAAUUCAGAUCCAGUUAACACAAUCAUUUGAGAAAGAAGAGAAGCCCUCAAAAGAUGAAGCAGAAAAAGAAAAGGCCAGUGAUAAGUUGCCCAGAAAAAUGUUAUCAAGAGAUUCCAGUCAAGAAUACACUGAUUCAACUGGCAUAGAUCUACAUGAAUUUUUAGUAAAUACAUUAAAAAACAAUCCCAGGGACAGAAUGAUGCUGCUGAAAUUGGAACAAGAAAUUUUAGAUUUCAUUGGUAAUAAUGAGUCUCCACGUAAAAAAUUCCCCCCAAUGACAUCUUACCAUAGGAUGCUAUUACACAGAGUAGCCGCUUACUUUGGAUUAGACCACAAUGUUGAUCAGAGUGGGAAGUCUGUCAUAGUAAACAAAACUAGCAAUACAAGAAUGGAGAUUACCCGCUCCAGCCUUGAAUCAGUGGUGUUAUGGAUGUCAACAACCCAGUGUCCACUGGGGUGUCUCAAUGGAGCGGGAAGUUGGCGAUUACAGGGCAGUAAAUUCAGGCAUCUAUAAAAGAAUGAGACCUGAUCAGAAAUUUAAUGAACAUAUUAAGGAUGAUAAAGGUGAAGACUUUCAGAAACGUUAUAUCCUCAAGAGAGAUAACUCUAGCUUUGACAAAGAUGAUAACCAGAUGAGAAUACGUUUGAAAGAUGACAGAAGAAGCAAAUCUAUAG